CGAAAGAGAACCUGCACACAGGUGCUGCAUGGCUGUCGUCAGCUCGUGUCGUGAGAUGUUGGGUUAAGUCCCGCAACGAGCGCAACCCUUGCCAUCAGUUGCUACGAAAGGGCACUCUGAUGGGACUGCCGGUGACAAACCGGAGGAAGGUGGGGAUGACGUCAAGUCCUCAUGGCCCUUAUAGGUGGGGCUACACACGUCAUACAAUGGCCGGUACAAAGGGCAGCCAACCCGCGAGGGGGAGCCAAUCCCAUAAAGCCGGUCGUAGUCCGGAUCGCAGUCUGCAACUCGACUCCAUGAAGUUGGAAUCGCUAGUAAUCGCAGAUCAGCACGCUGCGGCCGAAUACGUUCCCGGGCCUU
rnacentral:rRNA from 1 species